rnacentral:rRNA from 1 species
UUCAAGUAGAGUUUGAUCCUAGCUCAGGAUGAACGCUGGCGGCGUGGAUAAGGCAUGCAAGUCGAACGGAUAGUACCGUGAAAUUAUUUGAGAAAUCUGAAGUAGCAAUACAGAGGGUCGAUCAAGUAAUGGAUCGGAUCUGCUAUUAGUGGCAAACGAGGUAGUAACACAUAGGAAUUUCCCCCUAAGUCGUGAAUAACGCACCGAAAGGUGUGCUAAUACACGAUGGUCCCCCUGGGGUAAAGAUUUAUCGCUUAGGGAAAAGCCUGUGGGAUAUCAGCUAGUUGGUAGUGUAAUGGACUACCAAGGCUAUGACGUCUAGGGGAGCUGAGAGGCUGACCCCCACCGAUGGGACUGAGACACGGCCCAUACACCUACGGGUGGCUGCAGUCAAGAACCUUCCACAAUGGACGAAAGUCUGAUGGAGCGACGCCGCGUGAUCGAUGAAGCGUUUCGACGUGUAAAGAUCUUUUAUGAGGGAAGAAGUUUAUUGACUGUACCUCAUGAAUAAGGGGCUCCUAACUCUGUGCCAGCAGGAGCGGUAAUACAGAGGCCCCGAGCGUUAUCCGGAAUUAUUGGGCGUAAAGGGUGCGUAGGUGGCUAUAUUAGUCUUUCGUUAAAUCCAUGGGCCUAACCUGUGGUCUGCGAAGGAAACGGUAUAGCUUGAGAGCGAGAGAGGUGAAUGGAACUAAUAGUGUAGGGGUGAAAUCCGUUGAUAUUAUUGGGAACACCAAAAGCGAAGGCAAUUCACUGGCUCGUUUCUGACACUGAUGCACGAAAGCGUGGGUAGCGAAUGGGAUUAGAUACCCCAGUAGUCCACGCCCUAAACGAUGCACUCUAGCUAUUCGGAGUAUCGACCCUCUGAGUGGCGUAGCUAACGCGUUAAGAGUGCCGCCUGGGAAGUACGGUCGCAAGACUAAAACUCAAAGGAAUAGACGGGGACUUGCACAAGCAGUGGAUUAUGCGGUUUAAUUCGAUGAUAAACGAAGAACCUCACCCAGGUUUGAAACUUAUACGAAAGCUCCGGGAAACCGGAGCCCUCGCAAGACGGAUAAGCAGGUGAUGCAUGGCCGUCGUCAGCUCGUGGUUUGAAUUGUUCCCUUAAGUGGGGUAACGAGCGCAACCCUCGUUGUGUGUUAAAUAUGUCACACAAGACUGCUCAGAACUUUGCGUUUGAGUGCUACAAAUAAUAUUGUGGUAUUCGAAAAUAAAGUUCUGAGAGGAAGGAGAGGAUGACGCCAGGUCAGCAUGUCCCUUUGACAUCUGGGGCUACACGCAUAAUACAAUCGCUAUUACAACGGGUCGCGACGAGGUAACUCUGAGCCAAUCCUUCAAAAAUAGCGCCAGUUCGGAUUGAGGGCUGAAACUCGCCCUCAUGAAGCCGGAAUUGCUAGUAAUCGCGGGUCAGAUAUACCGCGGUGAAUACGUUCUCAAGUCUUGUACUCACCGCCCGUCAAGUCAAGGGAGCCGGGAGUGCCCGAAGUCUGUGCAUAAGCAUGGCCUAAGGUAAGCUCGGUGACAGGGACUAAGUCGUAACAAGGCACGGCUAGCGGAAGCUGGUCGUGGAAUAAUUCAAUU